rnacentral:tRNA from 1 species
UCCUCGGUAGCUCAAUGGUAGAGCGUCCGCCUGUUAAGCGGAGGGUUCUUGGUUCGAGUCCAAGCCGAGGAG